GUGCUCGCUUCGGCAGCACAUAGACUAAAAUUGGAACGAUGGAGAGAUGAUUAGCAUGGCCCCUGCACAAGGAUGACACAAAUUCGUGAAGUGUUCCAUAUUUUA
ensembl:snRNA U6 U6 spliceosomal RNA